rnacentral:tRNA from 1 species
GCAUUGAUAGUUCAACGGGAGAAUUCUUCCCUUCCAUGUAGGAGACCAGGGUUUGAUUCCCAGUCAGUGCA